rnacentral:rRNA from 1 species
UCGGACGGGUGAGUAACGCGUGAGAAUCUGGCUCUAGGUCUGGGGCAACCACUGGAAACGGKGGCUAAUACCGGGUGUGCCGAAAGGUGAAAGGUUAACUGCCUGGAGAUGAGCUCGCGUCUGAUUAGCUAGKUGGKAGGGUAAAGGCUUACCAAGGCGACGAUCAGUAGCUGGUCUGAGAGGACGAUCAGCCACACUGGGACUGAGACACGGCCCAGACUCCUACGGGAGGCAGCAGUGGGGAAUUUUCCGCAAUGGGCGAAAGCCUGACGGAGCAAUACCGCGUGAGGAGGAAGGCUCUUGGGUUGUAAACCUCUUUUCUCAGGGAAGAAUAAUGACGGUACUUGAGGAAUAAGCAUCGGCUAACUCCGUGCCAGCAGCCGCGGUAAUACGGAGGAUGCAAGCGUUAUCCGGAAUGAUUGGGCGUAAAGCGUUCGCAGGUGGCAUUGAAAGUCUGCUGUCAAAGAGUCUGGCUCAACCAGAUACAGGCAGUGGAAACUUCAAAGCUWGAGUGCGGUWGGGGUAGAGGGAAUUCCUGGUGUAGYGGUGAAAUGCGUAGAGUUCAGGAAGAACACCGGUGGCGAAAGCGCUCUGCUAGACCGCAACUGACACUGAGGGACGAAAGCUAGGGGAGCGAAAGGGAUUAGAUACCCC